rnacentral:rRNA from 1 species
GACGAACGCUGGCGGCGUGCUUAACACAUGCAAGUCGAACGGAAAGGCCCUGCUUUUGUGGGGUGCUCGAGUGGCGAACGGGUGAGUAACACGUGAGUAAACUGCCCUUGACUUUGGGAUAACUUCAGGAAACUGGGGCUAAUACCGGAUAGGAGCUCCUGCUGCAUGGUGGGGGUUGGAAAGUUUCGGCGGUUGGGGAUGGACUAGCGGCUUAUCAGCUUGUUGGUGGGGUAGUGGCUUACCAAGGCUUUGACGGGUAGCCGGCCUGAGAGGGUGACCGGCCACAUUGGGACUGAGAUACGGCCCAGACUCCUACGGGAGGCAGCAGUGGGGAAUAUUGCACAAUGGGCGGAAGCCUGAUGCAGCAACGCCGCGUGCGUGAUGACGGCCUUCGGGUUGUAAACCGCUUUCGCCUGUGACGAAGCGUGAGUGACGGUAAUGGGUAAAGAAGCACCGGCUAACUACGUG